UGAGUUACACAAGCGGUACAAGCGAUGCAUGAGCCACGAGGAGGGCGCACUAUCUGCACCACCGCACGUGACCCAUGAUGACUGGCAAAUACUCUACGAUAGAUUUUUGUCUGAUUCUUUUCAGAAAAGGAGCAAAAUAAAUUCUGACAAUAUGGGAAAGUUAGAAGUGAACUGCGUAGCUGGUUCAUAGUCAUUUGUACAACUUCGUCACAACAUGCUAAGAAAUUACUAGUUAUUAUUAAGUUGAUAUAUUCUUUCCAUGCAUUUAUAUUAACUUUAUUGUCCUUUCGAUUGCGCAGUGAGAUUCCAUCACUGGCCAGGAGCCUGGACCAGUAGACCUCUACAGAGGGACUCACUGUCAGCAGGCGAUGGGAUCUUAGGUACAUCCUAGAGCCAGUGAGAUUUGGGUGGCGAUGGACACCUUACGCAGUCAGCCCACUCCCGAUGGUACUCAGCGGAGUGAGUCAGAGAUCCUGAGUGAGGUGCUUGGCACCCGUUCUGGAUAUGUGCGUGGGCUUGGCCAUGGUGCCAAGCUCACGACACCCACUAGAGCUGCCUCCACCCGAUCCAUUGUCAUUGACGAGAGCACCAAACGCCAAGCUGAUAUCGCAGAGAGAGAGG